UGCCAGCAGCCGCGGUAAUACGGAGGGGGUUAGCGUAGUUCGGAAUUACUGGGCUUAAAGAGUUCGUAGGUGGUUGAAAAAGUUAGUGGUGAAAUCCCAGAGCUUAACUCUGGAACUGCCAUCAAAACUUUUCAGCUAGAGUUUGAUAGAGGAAAGCAGAAUUUCUAGUGUAGAGGUGAAAUUCGUAGAUAUUAGAAAGAAUACCAAUUGCGAAGGCAGCUUUCUGGAUCAUUACUGACACUGAGGAACGAAAGCAUGGGUAGCGAAGAGGAUUAGAUA
rnacentral:rRNA from 1 species